GAGGAUCUAGCUCAGUGGGAGAGCGUGUGCUUAGUAUGCAUGAGGUCCUGGGGUUCAAUCCCCAGUACCUUCA
rnacentral:tRNA from 1 species